rnacentral:lncRNA from 1 species
CUCCACUGUUGAUAUUCUGUGUGCCAAAGAAAAAAGAGACAAGAUCUUUGUGUGUUUUCUUGUAGAUUUAUAUGUAAGAAUUACUUACUGAAAACUAGAGGAUCAUACAUAAAGCAGUAUCCAGAUGGCUCACCCACAGUACAGAAGAGCCAGAAUUUUAUUUAUGGAGAUGCCAAUCUCUGACAUCCAUAUCUUAGUAACUAUACGGAGUACUUUCAGGCCGAAUUGAUCAUCAUAAGGUGUUUGCGCUUGAUGUAGUCUCCAGAUUCCAUGUCGACAUUCUCCUCAUAGGUGGUCUCAGACACACAAUAGGUGGCUGGUCGGAAACUAUCCUCUACUUCACAGGCCUCUUUGUGCUUGUAUACUUGGUGAGUGUUUGUGAGGAGAGGUCUUUCAGACGUAGCCUUCUCCAACGAAGAGACAUAGGCGUAGUAGUCUCCCCCUGAGGAGAUCCUUGCCUCAUGGAACUCCACAUGGCUUUGCUGUGGGUGGUGGUGGUGGUGGUGGUGGUGGUGACUCCCGAAUGACAUUUUUGCUACAGACCUUAAUAUGCUAGGAGGCUUGAU